CGAACGCNGGCGGCGUGCCUAAUACAUGCAAGUCGAGCGGACCGACGGGAGCUUGCUCCCUUAGGUCAGCGGCGGACGGGUGAGUAACACGUGGGUAACCUGCCUGUAAGACUGGGAUAACUCCGGGAAACCGGGGCUAAUACCGGAUGCUUGAUUGAACCGCAUGGUUCAAUCAUAAAAGGUGGCUUUUAGCUACCACUUACAGAUGGACCCGCGGCGCAUUAGCUAGUUGGUGAGGUAACGGCUCACCAAGGCGACGAUGCGUAGCCGACCUGAGAGGGUGAUCGGCCACACUGGGACUGAGACACGGCCCAGACUCCUACGGGAGGCAGCAGUAGGGAAUCUUCCGCAAUGGACGAAAGUCUGACGGAGCAACGCCGCGUGAGUGAUGAAGGUUUUCGGAUCGUAAAACUCUGUUGUUAGGGAAGAACAAGUACCGUUCGAAUAGGGCGGCACCUUGACGGUACCUAACCAGAAAGCCACGGCUAACUACGUGCCAGCAGCCG
rnacentral:rRNA from 1 species